UACGUAGGGAGCGAGCGUUGUCCGGAAUCAUUGGGCGUAAAGAGCAUGUAGGUGGAUCAAUUAGUCUGCUGUGAAAGUCAAAGGCUCAACCUUUGAAAGCCGGUGGAUACUGUUGAUCUAGAGUACGGAAGAGGCGAGUGGAAUUCCUGGUGUAGCGGUGGAAUGCGCAGAUAUCAGGAGGAACACCAAUAGCGAAGGCAGCUCGCUGGGACGUUACUGACACUGAGAUGCGAAAGCGUGGGG
rnacentral:rRNA from 1 species